rnacentral:rRNA from 1 species
UACGUAGGGUGCGAGCGUUGUCCGGAAUUAUUGGGCGUAAAGAGCUCGUAGGCGGUUUGUCGCGUCGGCUGUGAAAUCUCCACGCUUAACGUGGAGCGUGCGGUCGAUACAGGCAGACUUGAGUUCGGUAGGGGAGACUGGAAUUCCUGGUGUAGCGGUGAAAUGCGCAGAUAUCAGGAGGAACACCGGUGGCGAAGGCGGGUCUCUGGGCCGAUACUGACGCUGAGGAGCGAAAGCGUGGGGAGCGAACAGG